CUCUGUUGUCAUUUGCCAGUUGCUUCCUUCUCUCGGGCCCUGACGGUCCUCCUAGCAAACCAUCAGAUCUGCUCCCCAUGGAAUCACUCUGUAGGCAUGAUGAGUAAAAUUCAAGCGUAUAAUCAAAUGUCACCAGUAAAAGGACUUGCGGCUUUGCAAGAAUAAUGUUGAGAUCUGCUCGUGGUUGGAAAAAAAGGGAAACAUUAUGAAUUCAGGAAUUGGUUCCACAUGUGCAUCUGUUCGGAUAUUCUUCGCCUUCCCUUUCUCAUCUUUCUUAAUUUCACCAAAAUCAUUUGGGCCAGGUGGAGAAGUCCUUCCUCUGUUGCUGUUUUUUUAAAAAAAUUUGGGAAUGACAACUCAUUGUCCUGCUGCAAGUCACUCACUGGGUCUAUCUGCCUUGUGUCCACCCCAUGUUUACCAUACCUCAUCAUGGCCAAACGUCAGAAGCCUGUUGUGACUAUAGUUGAUGAAAAGAGGUGGAAAGAUAAGACUGAUGAAAUGGCCUGAAUAAAUGGCAAAAAUGAAAACAA